GGAUACCGUUGUACACAACCCAACAACCGUCCAUCCACUCGUUCAGGCGCUCACACCCCCGCAAUCCAUUCCGAUUCGAGCAAUGGGCGGCGCCGCCUCCGUGGAGCCGAACCGAACCCCAGCACCAGCACCAGCACCACCGUAAGCCUCCCUCAACGACGACAUCCUCCUCGCCCUCCCGUCCCUCCAUGCCCUCUCGUCCGCGCGGUCCUCGCCUGCAGCUCGUGGGCUCCCGCGCCGCCCGGCUUUUCGCCGGGGUUCCGCCGCCUGCUCCACCCACCCGGACCCUGCCCCCUCGGGCUCUUCACCGACCACGGCGGCCUCACCAUCCUCCCCGGCACCCCGGACUUCGGCCGCCGCCGCCGUCGCCCUCCGUGGAGCCACGAGCUGGAGGACUACGCCUCCCACGGUUGGCAUGCCGUGGCGUGGCGACCUCCUCCUGCUGAACCCACAGGAGGCUCGCCAUCCUAAACCCCUUUGAUCUGGGACGUGUACUUCAUCCCCGCUGUUGCUCGGUGGCAUCGAGCUGGAACAGGAAGAGCAUGGAGCUUCCGCGCUGUUCCGGUUUACAGGGAUGAAUUCAGGCUUUGUGCUUGCGGUCUUUUCGUCCUCCGAGACCCAUGGGAUUGGAAUUGGAUCAUCCAUAUCGCCAUCCAUGGGUUGAGUUUGCUGGAGACAGCAACAUGAGGCAAUGCUGGCGUGCUAGUGGAUGGCUCGAUUUACUGGCCUUACGAUGGUGAAUGACGCUGAACACCGUGGCCAUGGAAUUCUCCAGGGUGGAAUUACCAUGGGAAUUAAUGACACAGGGGUUGCAGUUUUAUGGCUGGGGAGACUAAGGAUUGAGGGCUUUGCAUUGUGUAUGCAAUAGACUUCCUCAUCCUCAUCUGGAUCCCUAGAGUCGUCAGGAACGGAAUUGCGAGAUGGGCAUCACAGAAGAUAUUCUCUUUGACACCCAUAUCUCAGUUACAAGGGCAUGAGAGUUGUGUGAGUUAGGGCUGGUUAUGUGUACUUGGCAACAGUGGAGGUCUCCCCUGAUGGCCAUGCCCCCUACUUAAUUCUUCUCACUUUGCCUGGAGAACAUGAAGCUUGAGAGACUGUUUCAGGAGAGAUUUCAGGAGACCGUAUAUGUAUGGCCUGGCUUCCUUUGGUUUGUGAUGAUGGGAGCUUUGGACAUGAAGUUGAAGGCUCUCAGUGACAAUCAUCGGGGUUCGAUGGUGGACAGGAUGCUCUUCAAGGUGGCAUGCUGUGGUGAAGAAGUAGAACAACCUUUGUUACCAUCAUCUUCUGUUUUUUUUUAUGAAUAUAGCCGUUGCUGUUGCAAGGCUGCAUGCCACCAACUUGGUCUGACAACCCCAGUUCAAAUCCUCGGAUACAUCCCUAUCUAGGUACUUCAUAUCUUAUUAAAUCCAUGUAUUUUUGUUACUUUUCUUUGGGUUUUUAUUAUUAAAUAUAGUGAUUUUUCUCUUAAUUGUCAUUUGACACUCAUGAUACCUUCUUUAACUGUGGAUAUGUUAUGUGAAUGUGUCGCUUAGAGUUGUUGCUAGAUCUUUCCAUUUGUAGUACACCCUCAAGGCCUUAACUCUUUAACUAUUAGUUUCAUGAACUAUAAACUAUUAAAACAGGAGGUUGUUAUGGCCUCACCCAUGGAUGAUGCUCAAAGAAUAUGAAAAACAGAGUCAUGAUCACAUACCUCAUGCAGUGUGCUUCACAACAUUCUACUGAAAACAGAACACACAGCUUGAAGCUCGCAUGCUGAAUUCAGGGUCACUGAAUGGCAGGGCAGCUCUCCUUUGGCAGGGAAAGGCUAGCAGUUUAUCAUCCAUUAGCUAUUCAGCUCCUCUUGCCCUCCAUGCCAGAGGAGAACUGCACUGUGAUUCUCACCCUGACAAUUUAUUCAAUCUGCCCAUUACUGCUCCUCUCGUCAUUCUUUGCUUCCAAUAUUUUCCUUGCUCUGUAUUUUAAUUGUUGAACUCAGGUAUAUAUAGCACAAAGAUCACUGAGUAAAAUCUGGAUAUGCCUUGGAAUAUGCUACCUAAGCUGACAAUGCUUGAGCAGCUAAUAAACUGUCACUUUUGCGUUUGCAUCUUAUAACUGACUGACCCCCGUACCCUUCUGGUUUCUGUUGCUAAUACAAAAGGGAACCAGUCUUGAACAUGAGCUUGAAUUCGAUGGGCCAUGUCUGGAUCAUAUUCUUUUCCAUUUCGUGGAUCCUGCUGAUAGCCUGAUAUUAUGCUCUGUUCUGGGACAUUCUUAUGGAUCUUCCCCCUGGGUGCUCUUGAAGCUGUAUAUGAAGAAUCCGUUACUGCAUCUGAUUCUUUCACAGCAAAGGACAACUUUUAUAAAGUAAUACUUUGUACAUGCAGCCUGAGGAGCUCGCCAUAUGGUUUUGAUCAGAUCAAAUCACUGCCGAAAUCUGAAACAAUGUUAUUAUGAUAUUAUCAAGCAGUGACAUGAAAGAGAACUUGUUAGUUAUGAAAUGGAACAUAAAUAUAACUUGUAUUUUCAACAGUAGUAAAAACAUCAUACCGUUGUUAGGUGUAUUAAAAAUUGGCUCAUUUUUUCCACAUCCCCCCAUAGCCCCAACACACACCCACACCCACACACACACACCCACACACCCCACCACCGAAGGUCCAAACUUUACAAUCAAUCUUUGAUGUGGUUUGGCCAUGAGCAAUGAUUCAAAAUCUAAGAAAUCUCUCUCUCUCUCUCUCUCUCUCUCUCUCUGUGUGUGUGUGUGUGUGUGUGUGUGUGUUUUAUUCGUUUUAUGGACGUUUUCCACUUUAUAUUUUGUUUAUGCCACCUAGGAUGUGUUUGGAAAAACAAACCUUAGAUUUGAAAUGAGUCAGAGUACAAAUUAAAGUGCCAUUUUUGUCAUACAAGUACAAUAGGAAAUUGUAACCCAGCAGUUCAGAAUACAGCAAGUUAAUUUAAAAUCUUUGCACUGCCUUCUCCAUCUGCUUUAAAUGUAUGCUUACACCUUCAAGAGUAGAAUUAGCUCCAAACAUAUGCAGGUGGGUGAAGUGUACAUGACUUAAAACCUUUAUGGUUCUGUAUAUUAAUAGUGAUCCCAAUUAAAACUGGCAUACCAACUGAGCCAGGUUCAUAUGGGGCACUACGUGACUAGCACUGGAUGAAAAGGGAGCACUCUGAGCCGUGUCAAAACAGUUCUGGUUGAUGAAUCAAUCAUGGGCAGAAGAGGGAUGCUGAUAGUAAUGAAUUAGCUAAGAGCCCAAGAUGAAAAGAACUGUAAAGCCAUGCGAGACCUUCUGGAAGGAGAGAACACUAAGACAAAGAAGUUCAGUGGUUGUGCAAACUGAAAUCUUUGACUUUGUUGGUAAGCAUGUUCCGGUCAAUGUUGCACUAACGAUUUGAUCUCGUAAGUGUUAUGCGGCUUUUCGAUGCCCAAGAGCUGCUUGAUCCGCACAUCUUUUGGUACUUCUCCAAAGAAUAAGUUGUGUAUCAGGUUUCUCCAGAGUUUUGAAAGGGCAUGAAAUGAGGAAGAAUAUCCACAAGGAUGUUCCAUAUAGCAAAGCAUAAUAUACAUGGACAUUUUCACAUGAUAAAGAAUAUGAUUCAUGUGGUCCACCAGUUAGUUGCAUGUACAUUGACUCGAUUUGAAAACUUAUCAUUUUGUGUUGUUAUUGAUAUUUAUUUUUACAAACUUGCACUACCAAUAGAACUAAAGGGAAUAAUAUAUGUGGAAAAAAGCUAGACCUUUUUUAAUCAGAUGAUAAUAGUGAGCAUUAUUUUUAUAUGGUUCAUUUUUUUAGAAAGGUAAAUGAAGUCUAAAUAGCACUUGCUGAUUUAGAAGUAUAUAUGCAUAUCUUGUCUGUGUCUAUGACUCUGCUAUAGGUAAUUAUGUAUAAAUGCCUGGUAAGUUAGAAAACAAAACAAGGAAAAGAUUGUGGCCAAAGAAGAGUGUGGACAUAAGGUAAAUAACAAAUGGAAUAUUUUUCUUAUGUAGCAUGUACUAUAUUGCUCUGUGAGAAUCACAGCAUGAGUUCUCUGGCAUGGAGGCUGAUGGCUCUAGGAGGAUCUGCCAGCAAUGCUAUGGCUAUCCCUGGCAGACGUGAACUGCACUGCUAUUUGGAAUAAACCCUGCUUUGAUCUUCAAAGAUAUUUGGAAUAAACCCUGCUUUGAUCUUCCAAUGUCUUUGAGUAUGUAGCUGCCGUUUUGGGUCAUAUAGUAGAAUGCACGCAUGGUAUUUCUUCCAUGGAUCUUCAAAAACCUCUGGAAUUAUUUCUACAUCCUUAUAAACAAGACCAACUUUGGAUUUGGAGAUUCAAUAAUCACUUCAUAGCAGCAUAGGAAACUGACAAGUUUAAAUUUGGAAAAUCAGACAAAUAGCAUCAUACCCAUGUUGUAGCGUGGUCAACAACUGUUUCUAUACAUAGACUCUGAGUUAAUUUUCGUCCAGUGUCUUAGUCACUUAGGAUGUGGGUACUUUACUGCAUGUGACUCAAAAUCAUAAAUUGCUAAUUCCCAAACCUACUGGCACUGGCUUCUUUUCCUUUUUGUUCUUAAAGUCUUAACAGAUCACUAUGGUGUUUUAUUCCUUGCACAUAUGUUUUCUUUGCUCGGCUCUUGAACAUGAAGGUAUGCGAUAGCAUCUGACAGAACUCCAUCACAUGCUGUAUGCCAUAGCCUUGGCCUUGUGCUAGAACCAAUGAAUUUGCUUUAGCAGCGGAAUUUUGUCCAAAUGAUUUAGACUAAUAUCUGUAUGCUGAGUGGUAGCCCUUCUUAUUGCCAGUUAUCUCCAUUGUACAAUCCUUGGUAGAUAGAUGUGUUGUAGAGGACUGGGGACUAAAGAUAACUUCCAUUGAAAGCUGUGGAUAUCUUUGGCCAUAUCUCUACAAGCCUACCAUUUCAAACAAAUUUAACUUUUCAAAUCAAAUUCAACCAAUGAGAUUGUGUGACACAUACCAACUGUGAUGGCCUGACAAUUUUAUCAUACAUGCUCUUUGCAACAUCGUUAGUUUGAUACUUUGAUUGAUUAUCUCAUCCAUUCAAUGGGUAAUAUCUCUUGUUAGUUACUUGGUUUUUGAGCAAGUUCCUUUUUAUUAGCUUAUAUAAUCAUCAUUCUUUAGAAAAUUAUAGCAUGGAUUCCCAACAAAAAUUACGGUACCUAUUUCAUGCUAAUACUAAAUAUCUCAGGACCACACAUUUGAGAAGGUGCCUGGGAGGUUUGGAAACAUGUUCAUCUGAGGUGUGCUGCAAAAUUUGGUCUGGGUUUAAAAACAAUAAAGAGGUUUCCUCUUCUUAUCCUGUGUAGUGUUUGUGGAAGUAAUUUGAUGCUUUCAACCAUAUCAUGCUUCGUCUUACUUUUAGCCAGCUAUCUUCAUAUAUGUAAUAUGGUAAGAAAUGCAUGGACUGAACCUGUUUUUUGUGUCACAUGUAAAGCCCCCUUUUCUGCCUUAUUUGCAGAACCAUAACUAACUGGCUAUUUACUGGUGAGAAUCUUUGUGCAAUGCUAUCUGGAAAGCUUGUAACUGGGCUAAUUUCCAAACCUAGCUGUUUUUGAACACCAACAUAUUAUUUACUAUGCUGGGCAAACAUGUAGAAAGGAAGACCCGGAGAUGGUUGUUGAAUUAGCCAGUUUAUUAUACUCUGAUGAAGAUUGCUGAAGCAACACGUUGGAUUUGCUCAUGCCAGGAUGAUGGAACUUUUAGAUGGUAAAAACACGCUAAAAACGACAUUUUAGUCUUCUGAUGUCCUUAUGUCAUGGGAUUUAACUCUGUGAUCAGGUUGAGAUCUCUCUCUCUCUCUCUCUCUCUCUCUCUCUCUCUCUCUCUCCUUUUUUUUUCUUUUUUCUUUUUUUUUUGUCGAAGAGGAUUUACACAAUGUAACAGUUCUGUUGGGCGUUGCGUUGGUGGUCAAUAAUGCUUUUCUGAACCUAUGUAUGAAUACCUGGCAUUAGAUAUCCUUUGUGUCGAAUGAUAUUUUGUUUUUCUGAAUCUAUGUAUGAACACCUGGCAUUAGAUA